rnacentral:rRNA from 1 species
AAACCAGCACCUCAAGUGGUCAGGAUGAUUAUUGGGCCUAAAGCAUCCGUAGCCGGCUCUGUAAGUUUUCGGUUAAAUCUGUAUGCUCAACAUACAGGCUGCCGGGAAUACUGCAGAGCUAGGGAGUGGGAGAGGUAGACGGUACUCGGGAGGAAGUGGUAAAAUGCUUUGAUCUCUCGAUGACCACCUGUGGCGAAGGCGGUCUACCAGAACACGUCCGACGGUGAGGGAUGAAAGCUGGGGGAGCAAACCGGAUUAGAAACCCCAGUAGUCC